AUGCAGAAAAAAGACAACAAAAAAAGAUGAGACUCUUUUUGAAGUUCAGAAUAAACUUUUGAAGCCCAUGGCAGUAUCUUUGGGGAACAAGAUCUUUUUAUUCACACAAGCCAGGGUCAUUUAAACCUCCAGAGUGAAGGUCCCACCUAAGCGAUAAAUUUAAAGAAUAAGUAUGUGUUUUUGUCUGCUGCCCUGACUACUUAAGACCCAAAAACUUUGGAGAAUGGGAGAAAAGAAGCUGGAGAAGAAGACAGAGUGACGCGGGUCUUCAGGAAGAGGCUGUGCUCUCUCCUCUGUCCACCCAGGGGACCUCUGAUCUCGCUCAAGUUCCUGGGUAAUCCUGGAAGAACCCGGGGACCACCAUAUGUACACCAAGAUCUAGUCUUCUUGACCAACACCAUUUUCUUUCUUGUUUACUCUGGUUGCACUGGUACUGUCCCCUCAUUGCUGGCAACCCCAGAAGUGCCAUCUAUGACCUUGAAAUCUGCUGAGGGCCCACACUUGCUGGAACAGCCCACACCCAAUUUGAAUUCAACAAUGUGAGUCCAAGGACAUUCAUGUCUGUGCCCAGGGCACUGGUGACUGGGUUGAAGGAAUGAAGGUGAAGUGGAUGCUGUCACAAUUACUGGCAGUGAUGCUUGUUGUGGGUUGAAUUGUGUCCUCCAAAAGAUAUGUUGAAGUCUCAGGCCCUCAUACCUGUGAAUGUAACCUUAUUUGGAAAUAGGGUCUUUGCAGCUGUGACUAAGAAGUAAGUUAAGAUGAGGUCAUGCUGGACGGAUUAGUGUGGGCCCUUAGUCCAAUAUGACUGGUGUCCUCAUAAGAAGAGAAGAGACACAGGCAGACAUGGGGGAGAACAGCAUGUGAAGAUGGAGGCAGAGUUUACAAUGAUGUGUCUAGAAGCCAAGGGAUGCCAGUGAUUGCUGGCAGUAACCAGAAGCUUUGAGAGAAGCAUAGAAACUGCCCAAAUGGCAGGGCUGCCAGCUGCUGCACGGCCCGUGCCCCCUGGGGUCCACCAAUGUUACAGAGAAGUGCUCAUUUUGCUUUUAUUUGGUCUUUUGUUUGCACACCUCCUUGCCCUGGAUCCAGGUACAAAUCCCUGGGGCCGGGCCGAGGGGACAUCUUAUGAGUGAUGACCUGCUGAGCCCAGCACACCUCACUCCCUGAGCUUCCCGGGCACUCCAGAGCCUGCGGAGGAUUCUGUCUCCUCUUGCAAGGAGCCCUUUCCCCUCAGUAGCCCUAGCUGUACUCCAGGGUUAAUGUGGAAAAUGAGGAGGUGUGCCGGGCUUUUACACUUGAAUUUUUCUAAUUAGAAAUGAACUUCUCCUCUGCGGAAACCUAUACCCAGAACAGCUAUUAACCCCUAGUGAGAGCCGAUGUUCAGAAAAAAUCAGAAAUCAAAAUAUGCAAAAGAAAACAUAAGAACUUCAGUCUAGCUCAGGGUUUACUAUGCUGAGACCUCUCUGGUCCUCACCCUGCUGGCCUUCGGCUGGAGCCUCAUCGUCCCCAGGAAGGAGGGUACAGGAAAGUGCCAGUAGCAUUGACC
rnacentral:lncRNA from 1 species